AGGCCCCGCGCCGAGUGAUUCUCCCCCAAAAAACUCUACAUGUGAUGUUCCGAAAACAGAAACAUGUGAUUUAGUAAAUUAGAACCCAUUGUGGGGUGCAACCAGGGAACAACUAUCAACUAGUUUGAAAAGUUCUUCCAUUUAGUAAUGGAAGUCAUCCGUUGUCACUUUCUAAGGGUAUGGUAGAGAGGCUUGAGAAGGUGGACAAUCCUUCAGUGAAGACCUAACGAGAGGCUGAAUUCAAACACACCCAAAAUCCACAAGAAUCGUACGAACAUCUAUGGAGCGUAGCAAGGAACCUUGGCUUCAGCUCUCGUCACCUCACUCAAUCCUACAGCGGAAACUCGAGUCGAGGCGCUGCAAGCGAGCAAAGAAGCACUUCUUGUAACCAAAACAAAAAC
rnacentral:lncRNA from 1 species